rnacentral:tRNA from 1 species
GUGCCUAUAGCUCAGUGGUUAGGGCGCCAGCCUCAUACACUGGGGUUGGUGGGUUCAAACCCGUCCAGGGUCU